CAUGCCUAACACAUGCAAGUCGAACGAGACCUUCGGGUCUAGUGGCGCACGGGUGCGUAACGCGUGGGAAUCUGCCCUGGGGUGCGGAAUAACUCGGAGAAAUCCGUGCUAAUACCGCAUAAUGUCUUCGGACCAAAGAUUUAUUGCCCUGGGAUGAGCCCGCGUAGGAUUAGCUAGUUGGUGGGGUAAAGGCCUACCAAGGCGACGAUCCUUAGCUGGUCUGAGAGGAUGAUCAGCCACACUGGGACUGAGACACGGCCCAGACUCC
rnacentral:rRNA from 2 species